rnacentral:lncRNA from 1 species
GGCCUCCCGCAGAGCAACAAAAGGAAGCGCAGGACUCGACCUCAGUUCCACCACCAGACUCGUAUUGACCCCUCGAAUGGGAACUCAGGUGGUGGAUACAGAUUUUAAAGGCCCCAGUAAGCAGAAUUCAGAAGGAUCUCAGAAAUUGAAAGCAUGUGCAAAGAUAAAGAUUUGGGGUAGUGGUAGUGGUCAAAAGGGGACAAGAAUCAAGAAAAUCCAAUUUGGGUACCUGAGUGUUUGACUCGAAAAUUGCCUUCUGCUCUUCCUGAAGAUGAGACUAUGAACCCUACUAUUACUACUGGGAAUGGUAAUACAGGUUAAUUCGCUCACCCUGUGGGCUAUUGCCAGAUCCUGGCCAGUACCCAUGCCAGUUCAUAGCAAUUCUACUGUUUUGAGAAUAAGACUGACAAGCAUAAUCUCUGGCCUUGGUUUCAAUGGGUGCUGUCCAAUGAGCAAGGGGCAUAUACAUCCCUGACCCCCUUUGCUAGGUUGAUGGGUGAGAACUUCAUGCUGUAUAAUGUUUCAGCUACCAGAAAAAAUGAUACCAGUUUGACCAAUAUUCAAUAUAAUAACCUCUUGGCAAAUAAUACUGCCACUAGUACUUCAGUAUGUGUUAGAUCACCUUUUUUCUUUCUGAUAAGCACUAAUGUCAGCAAUGGUGUUUUAAAUUGUAAUAGCUCUGAUGUAGUCUGCUAUUUAGCUGAAUGCUGGGAUGGCACUAAUGACACCGCAGUGACGGUUAAGAUUUCCUCCUUUGUGCCAAUCCCA